UAGGGAAUCUUCCGCAAUGGGCGAAAGCCCGACGGAGCAACGCCGCGUGAGUGAUGAAGGUCUUCGGAUCGUAAAACUCUGUUAUUAGGGAAGAACAAAUGUGUAAGUAACUAUGCACGUCUUGACGGUACCUAAUCAGAAAGCCACGGCUAACUACGUGCCAGCAGCCGCGGUAAUACGUAGGUGGCAAGCGUUAUCCGGAAUUAUUGGGCGUAAAGCGCGCGUAGGCGGUUUUUUAAGUCUGAUGUGAAAGCCCACGGCUCAACCGUGGAGGGUCAUUGGAAACUGGAAAACUUGAGUGCAGAAGAGGAAAGUGGAAUUCCAUGUGUAGCGGUGAAAUGCGCAGAGAUAUGGAGGAACACCAGUGGCGAAGGCGACUUUCUGGUCUGUAACUGACGCUGAUGUGCGAAAGCGUGGGGAUCAAACAGG
rnacentral:rRNA from 1 species